GCUAACUACGUGCCAGCAGCCGCGGUAACACGUAGGAGACGAGCGUUAUCCGGAAUUACUGGGUGUAAAGCGCGUGCAGGCGGCAUGGCAAGAUGGAUGUAAAAGCCCCCGGCUUAACUGGGGGAGGUCGUCCGUGACUGCCAGGCUAGAGGGUAGUAGAGGUAGGCGGAAUUCCGAGUGUAGCGGUAAAAUGCAUAGAUAUUCGGAAGAACACCAGUGGCGAAGGCGGCCUUCUGGACUACAACUGACGCUCAGACGCGAAAGCCAGGGUAGCAAACGGGAUUAGAUACCCCAGUAGUC
rnacentral:rRNA from 1 species